rnacentral:rRNA from 1 species
GCCUGGCUCCGGGUCUGCCUCCGGGUAGACCCCACCCUUGUGUAUAUUAUAUUGUUGCUUUAGCAGGUCGCCCUCUGGGCGUCGGCCUCGGCUGACUGUGCCUGCUAGAGGACCCUAAAUUUUGAAAUACAGUGUCGUCUGAGUACUAUUUAAUAGUUAAAACUUUCAACAACGGAUCUCUUGGUUCUGGCAUCGAUGAAGAACGCAGCGAAAUGCGAUAAGUAAUGUGAAUUGCAGAAUUCAGUGAAUCAUCGAAUCUUUGAACGCACAUUGCGCCCCUUGGUAUUCCGGGGGGCAUGCCUGUUCGAGCGUCAUUUAGACCAACUCCCGCUCCGGCGGGGUCUUGGGCUGCGCCUUUGGGCGGGCCUUAAAACCAGUGGCGGUGCCCUAAGGCUCUACGCGUAGUAAUUCUUCUCGCGAUAGGGUCCUUGCGGUGUCUUGCCAGCAACCCCCAACUCUCUAGGGUUGACCUCGGAUCAGGUAGGGAUACCCGCUGAACUUAAGCAUAUCAAUAAGCGGAGGA